rnacentral:rRNA from 1 species
GAUGAACGCUGGCGGCGUGCCUAAUACAUGCAAGUCGAGCGAACGGACGAGAAGCUUGCUUCUCUGAUGUUAGCGGCGGACGGGUGAGUAACACGUGGAUAACCUACCUAUCAGACUGGGAUAACUUCGGGAAACCGUAGCUAAUACCGGAUAAUAUUUUGAACCGCAUGGUUCAAAAGUGAAAGACGGUCUUGCUGUCACUUAUAGCUGGAUACGCGCUGCAUUAGCUAGUUGGUAAGGUAACGGCUUACCAAGGCAACGAUGCAUAGCCGACCUGAGAGGGGGAUCGGCCACACUGGAGCUGAAACACGGACCAGACGCCUACGGGAGGCCGCAGUAGGGAAUCGUCCGCAGUGGGCGAGAGCCUGACGGAGCAACGCCGCGUGUGUGAUGAAGGUCUUCGGAGCGUAAAACUCUGUUAUUAGUGAAGAACAGAUGUGUAAUGAACUGUGCAGAGCGUGACGGUACCGAGUCAGAAAGCCACGGCUAACUACGUG